rnacentral:lncRNA from 1 species
UUUAUCUGACAUUGUCAGAAAAGUAGCUGUAGCGUAUAAGGAAUUUUUCCAGAAAUGUUAACUAUGACUUAGUUUCUUCUCACCACCACAUAUUAACUAUAAAACAAUGUCUUGAUUAUGUGUAAAUGUCUCCAAGAUAAUUUAUACACACUAUUAAACAGAAUAUUAAACCUAAUGGUACUUUCAAUGUUUAACUUUGAUAAUUUGCAAAAUGCAUUAUUGGUCCACAGUAUAUUACUACUGAAUAUAUCACAUAUUGAUUUCUAAAUGGACUCACUGCUUGCUUUAAAAAAAAAAAACAGAAUUCUUGUAUCUUCUACCUUAUUUUCCUCUAAAGAAUUAUCAGUAAUUUUUUCUUGUAACAAGCAUUGAAUCUGUCUUUAGCAGUCUCUAACUCAAUUCAAAUUUCUUGAUUGUAAAUUAAGAGUUAAAAACACAAAUUGUUAGACGUAUUUGUCAAUUAAAGAGGAUGUGAGGGCGAUCCGGCUGUGACAUCUGUCACCCCAUUGAUCGCCAGGGUUGAUUUGGCUUAUCUGGCUGGCUAGGCAGCUGUCGGCUUCCUCCUUCACCAUUCCAGGUGUGUCCCUCCGGAAGUUGUGUUCUGGGUAAGGGGACGACCAUCCCCCAUAGAGAAGGACCAGUAUUUCGUCAAGGGUAUAUCAAUAGCUGUACUCCCCUGCUAGAACCUCCAAACAAGCUCUCAAGAGUAAAUAACCCCUAACUGCUGGUCUGAGGGGAUUAUGGAUUUAAAUGUGCACAUGUGUGUAUGUAUAAUAUAUGUACAUAAAAUGUGUGUGUGUGUGUACUUGUGUUGCCUUCUCAAGCACCUUUAAAAUUAGCUAGUUGAAGCAAAUUUCUGAAGUUCUAGUUAGCUGAGUUUGCUUCUUUAUUAAGUAAGGUGUGAUUGGAUUUACUAUUUCUUUUAGAUGUAGCCUUUUAAGAUUUCUUAGAUAGGCCAGGCGCGGUGGCUCACACCUGUAAUCCCAGCACUUUGGGAGGCCGAGGUGGGUAGAUCACAAGGUCAAGAGAUCGAGACCAUCCUGGCCAACAUGGUGAAACCCCGU